AUACGGAACAGAAGAGGUUUAUACUAUUUAUUCACUCUACCGUUAGUGACAAGAUCGAGAUAUCAAACAUUGUAUACCCCGGUUAUACAGGAUGCAGCCGUUGGCAAGCUUGAAUCCACACUGAAUGCGUAAUAUAAAGCACUAUGGCUUCCACACGAUGUGUUGCGCUUACUUCAUUUAUUUUCAUACUUCUUGGAUGUUGCUCUUGUACAUUUGGGUUCAAUAUCCUUAUGUCAUCUUACUAUGGAAUGGGAAGCCAUUUUAUUGCCGGAUCUAAGGUGGCAGAGAGCCUUUUGAAGAAAGGUCACAAUGUUACAUUUCUCAUCAGUGAAGCUUUCUCACAUCGAGCCGAAGACCCCGCAUAUUCAAAUUUUUCAUUCCAGAUCUUCAAACACAUGGUGCCUAAAGAAGAAAUCGUUGACGUAUUCAGCAAUCUCAUUGCCGAAAAUGCAUUCGAAAGCUCACAGGUGCAGCUUAAGACUGGGCUUAAAAUAGUGGAGUAUAAUAUAAACGACUGUUUAUCUGUACUCAGAGACGAGGUCUUGAUGGGAAACAUAGAGGGGAUCGAUGGGAUAGUUGUGGAUACAGCGUGGAAUUGUGGAUAUUUCAUCAGAGAUUUUUUGGAGAUGAAGACCAACAAAAGUAGGAAAGUUCCACUUGUAGCUAUGACACCGACACACAGUAUGAUGAGUUCGUUAUUCGAGGAUAUAUCACCAUUUAAUCGCGCCUACCAGCCCGAUUUCGGUACUGGAUAUACCAAUAGAAUGACAUUUCUUCAGAGAACAAUGAAUGUGCUCGAGAAUUGGAAGUUACAACUCUUGGCUAAAGCCGUAAAAAGCUGGUUCUGCGAGAUACAGAAAGAGACGGGUCAAAGCUGCCACGAUUUAGAUCUGCUAGAAACGUACGCAAAGGCCGAUAUUUUUUUGUUCAAUACCCACUUUGCUGUAGACUUUCCUCACGCUCUUACACCAAACGUUAUGUAGGUGGACUAACCUGCCGACCAGCUUCUCCUCUCACACAGGAGCUAGAAGACUUUGUUCAGAGUUCUGGAGAUCAUGGCGUUAUCAUCUUCACCCUCGGUACCUACUCGACGUCCAUCACGACGAUCAGACCCGAAUUAGUGGCGAUGUUUGCCGAAGUUUUCCGAAGAUUGCCGCAGAAGGUCAUCUGGCAGCUCAAAGAACUGCCUGACUGGGAGCUACCCUCUAACGUGAAGGCUAUGCCAUGGCUACCUCAAAACGAUCUUCUCGGUCAUCCUAAGACCAGGAUGUUGAUGUACCAAGGAGGUAAUAAUGGUUUCCAGGAGGCCAACUAUCACGGUGUACCCAUCGUAGUCAUUCCUCUUCACAGCGACCAACCGAUGUCGCAGCCAGGAUCGAGGUGAGAGGUACGGGGAAGAGGCUCGAUAAAAUGUCCCUGAGUGCUGAUGUCAUCUACGAAGCCAUUGAAGAGGUCAUUCGCAAUCCAAGAUACACCAAGACAGCCAAAGAAGUGUCGGCCAUUUACCGCAGUGAACCAAUGAGUGGACCCGAUAAGGCUGCUUUCUGGAUCGAACACGCUAUCAAGUUUGGUGGGGCUUACAUGCGACCCCCUGUCAAAGAACUCAAUUUCUUUCAAUAUCACCUUCUCGAUGUCUAUACAUUCCUCUUUGGAAUCGUUAUGGCGUUUUUAUUGGUUGCAUUAUAUGCUUUCUGGUUUUGCCUUUCGAUAUGUAUUAAUUUGGUAAGACCUGGCAAAAGCACAAAAUCCAAAGCUGACUAAUUUGUGUAUUCAUUACAGUUCAGAGUGCAGAUUGUGGAAAAUAACUAUACAUAUUUCACGGGAAACAACUGCUUCGACUUUUUAAUGAAAAAAACAACGAUUGUCUUGCAUGUGAAAAUGUCUUUGUCUUACAGGGAAAUUAUGUCUCACUGAUUUCAUGAUACUAUUUGUUUCUACUGGCCUUAAGUGAAAACAAAUCCUUAAAAACGAAUAUUAUGAUUAUAUAUUUAGUAAUUAGAGUGAACAUUUCAGAAAUCGCAAAUGGUAAUUUAUGUUGAAAGUAAAAGAAACCAGGAAGAUUUGUAUCUGUUUUAUUACGAUUACAAUUGCCCCAAACAGCAAUACAGUAAUUUAGAUGUGAGAGCAUAACUAAUGAUGCAAGAGAGUCUUCUAAUCUAUACAAUAUCUGCACAUUGAAUAGAGACAUCGUAGAUGUAUUAAGCGCGAUAUAAAAGCGAAAUAUUACUAUUAUUAUACUAAUAUAUUAUUUAGAUACCAUUUGACCUCAUUAAUGGAACAUUAUCGAUUGUAAGAAGUAAAUUAUCGAGUGAAAUAGCUAAUUUAGAUCAGACUGCCUAUAUGGAAGAAGGUAAUAUUAUGGUGAGUUUUACUAGGAUUUAUCAAUAAUUUGUUGAUUUGACUAAUGUAUUGGUACUAAUUGCUGACAGAACUUUAUCUUGUAAAUAUAUUAAACCAUAAUGUAUUCGAAUCAAACCAUAAUUUAAUCAAAUGAUGUUUGCCUAAAACCAUAUUGGGAGUCAGGAAGACUAAUUUUAUGUACGCAGAAUGAAUAUAAUCUCUUAUAAAUGUAUUUUUAUAACAAUUUCGAUAUGAUUGGAAGAAUGGAUAUGGGUUUAUCGAAUUUAUGAGGAUUAAUCUUUGUAAAUACAGGAGAUUUUUAAAAUUUUAUAGUUCAUCUGGGACUAUGCCUGUAGAAAGAGAGAGAUCGAAUAUAAAAUCGAAAGGGUCUAAAAUAUAAAAGAAGACCCCUUUCAUUAAAGUUGGUGCAAAGAUGAUCAAAUCAGAUGUUUUUAAAAUUGAAGUAUUAUUACAAGAAUUGGACAUUGAACUGGUUUUCUGUUUACAACAGUUUAUGAAAGUUGAUUAAAUUCAGUUGCGAUAUGUUGUGGAUAUAUAUUUCAUUGUCAUUAGUAAAAUAUAUAGGUAAAGAUAUUCUAGGCUUAUUUAGUAAUGAAUUGAUUACACGUCAAGUCUUCUUUGUAUUAUAUUUGAAUGAUUUUAAUCUUUUAGAGUAAUAUUAUUUAUUCGCAUGCUUAAAUAGAUUAUUUACCUUUAGUUUUAGUUCAGUUUUAGUUCAGUUUCAGUUUAGUUUGUUUACUAGCAAUAAACAACGGGAAUGAAAACAACUCUUCUUUAAAAAUACAUACAAUAAUAUAAGGUCAUGAAAGUAAUAAUAAUACUGUCGAAAUAACAUACGGAGAUAUAUACAAAAAAAAAAACAAUGGGAUGUUAUUUAAAGGUACUAUGUCCCAUUUGCAGGCCAAAAAAUGAAAAGGUUAAUUUCUAACUGCAUUUGAAAGAUAAUACUAAUAUUGAACUUCCCUAAAAAUUAAUGUGGGGGCUUGCAUAAUUUGAAUAUUAGGACACUGCUGACGUUUAUAUUUCACAGAUAGGACAUACAUGACAUAUUUAUAAUUCCUGCAAAGUUCUACAGAAUGUGACUGUCGUAUCUUAUAUGUCCAUAAAUACGAAAGUAAAAGCUAGAUGGAAACGCCA